rnacentral:rRNA from 1 species
UACGUUCCGGCUUGUACACACCGCCGUCACACCACGAAAGUCUGUCAAACCAGAAGUCAUGAGGUCUCCUCAUGCCGAAGGUUGGGCCGGUAAUUGGGGUG